rnacentral:rRNA from 1 species
AACGAACGCUGGCGGCAUGCCUAACACAUGCAAGUCGAACGAGACCUUCGGGUCUAGUGGCGCACGGGUUCGUAACGCGUGGGAACCUGCCUUUAGGUUCGGAAUAACUCCCCGAAAGGGGUGCUAAUACCGGAUAAUGUCUUCGGACCAAAGAUUUAUCGCCCUUGGAUGGGCCCGCGUUGGAUUAGCUUGUUGGUUGGGUAAAAGCCUACCAAGGCGACGAUCCAUAGCUGGUCUGAGAGGAUGAUCAGCCACACUGGGACUGAGACACGGCCCAGACUCCUACGGGAGGCAGCAGUGGGGAAUAUUGGACAAUGGGCGAAAGCCUGAUCCAGCAAUGCCGCGUGAGUGAUGAAGGCCUUAGGGUUGUAAAGCUCUUUUACCCGGGAUGAUAAUGACAGUACCGGGAGAAUAAGCUCCGGCUAACUCCGUG